rnacentral:rRNA from 1 species
GCAAGUCGAACGAAGCCUUCGGGCUUAGUGGCGGACGGGUGAGUAACGCGUGGGAACAUACCCAAAGGUACGGAAUAGCCUCGGGAAACUGGGAGUAAUACCGUAUGUGCCCUUCGGGGGAAAGAUUUAUCGCCUUUGGAUUGGCCCGCGUUGGAUUAGGUAGUUGGUGGGGUAAUGGCCUACCAAGCCGACGAUCCAUAGCUGGUUUGAGAGGAUGAUC